rnacentral:snoRNA from 1 species
AAUGAUGACGACCCUAGGUGACUCUGAGUGUGUAACUGGCGCCAUCACCGCAAAAA